GAUGAACGCUAGCGGCAGGCCUAAUACGUGCAAGUCGGACGGGAUCUAUCGGAGAGCUUGCUGGAAGCUAGUGCGAGUGGCGCACGGGUGCGUAACGCGUGAGCAACCUACCCAUAUCAGGGGGAUAGCCCGGAGAAAUCCGGAUUAAGACCGCAUAACACUGUGAUUUGGCAUCAUGUUACAGUUAAAUAGUUAUAGGAUAGGGAUGGGCUCGCGUGACAUUAGCUAGUUGGUGAGGUAACGGCGCACCAAGGCGACGAUGUCUAGGGGCUCUGAGAGGAGAAUCCCCCACACUGGUACUGAGACACGGACCAGACUCCUACGGGAGGCAGCAGUAAGGAAUAUUGGUCAAUGGGCGGAAGCCUGAACCAGCCAUGCCGCGUGCAGGACGACUGCCCUAUGGGUUGUAAACUGCUUUUGUCGAGGAAUAAACCUAUCUACGUGUAGAUAGCUGAACGUACUCGAAGAAUAAGGAUCGGCUAACUCCGUGCCAGCAGCCGCAGUAA
rnacentral:rRNA from 1 species